UACGUAGGGGGCAAGCGUUGUUCGGAAUUACUGGGCGUAAAGGGCGCGUAGGCGGCAUGGCAAGUCAGGAGUGAAAGGCCUGGGCUCAACCGAGGAACUGCUUUUGAUACUGCCAAGCUAGAGUGCGGAAGGGGCAACUGGAAUUCCCAGUGUAGCGGUGAAAUGCGUAGAUAUCGUAAGGAAGACCAGUGGCGAAGGCGGGUCUCUGGACAGUUCCUGACGCUGAGGCACGAAGGUCAGGGGAGCAAACGGG
rnacentral:rRNA from 1 species